rnacentral:piRNA from 1 species
CCUAGUGUUGGGUUGUAGGAAUUUCAC